AGUGAACGCUGGCGGCAGGCCUAACACAUGCAAGUCGAGCGGCAGCGCGGGGGCAACCCUGGCGGCGAGCGGCGGACGGGUGAGGAAUACAUCGGAAUCUACCUUCUUGUGGGGGAUAACGUAGGGAAACUUACGCUAAUACCGCAUGAGACCUGAGGGUGAAAGCAGGGGACCGCAAGGCCUUGCGCGAGAAGAUGAGCCGAUGUCCGAUUAGCUAGUUGGUGAGGUAAAGGCUCACCAAGGCGACGAUCGGUAGCUGGUCUGAGAGGAUGAUCAGCCACACUGGAACUGAGACACGGUCCAGACUCCUACGGGAGGCAGCAGUGGGGAAUAUUGGACAAUGGGCGCAAGCCUGAUCCAGC
rnacentral:rRNA from 1 species